rnacentral:rRNA from 1 species
CCUACGGGUGGCAGCAGUGGGGAAUAUUGCACAAUGGGGGAAACCCUGAUGCAGCGACGCCGCGUGAGGGAAGAAGUAUUUCGGUACGUAAACUUCUAUCAGCAGGGAAGAAAAUGACGGUACCUGACUAAGAAGCCCCGGCUAACUACGUGCCAGCAGCCGCGGUAAUACGUAGGGGGCAAGCGUUAUCCGGAUUUACUGGGUGUAAAGGGAGCGUAGGCGGUUUAGCAAGUCAGAAGUGAAAGCCCGUGGCUCAACUCCGGGACUGCUUUUGAAACUGUUGAACUAGAGUGCAGGAGAGGUAAGUGGAAUUCCUAGUGUAGCGGUGAAAUGCGUAGAUAUUAGGAGGAACACCAGUGGCGAAGGCGGCUUACUGGACUGUGACUGACGUUGAGGCCCGAAAGCGUGGGGAGCAAACAGGAUUAGAUACCCUUGUAGUC